GUGAGCAACAAUGUAAAUUUUAAGACCAUUUUAAGAUUAAUCAUUAACAAUCAUUGUGUUGAAGAUACAAGUGUUUGACUUGCAUAACUUAAAGUAACUGUUUCUAGUUUAAUUUGAUACUUUACAAUCAUGCUAACUUCAAGCCCACAUGCUAAAACACAUUUGUCCAUAUUUCAAUGCUCAGGGAAAGCGCUUUCAACUCGUUUUUUUAGUAUCUCGCAAGAGACUAUAAAACAUUCAAGCUACGUGAUUUAACUGAUUUUUACGUAGAAAUGGCAACAGUCACCGCAUUACAGUUUUCUACAAUCGGAGGCGCCUGUUUUGAAUACAAUGGAAAGUCCACACAGAUCACAUCACCUCGACCAGUGAUAUGAGAAUUUGUCCAUUUCCCUAGAAGAAAACAACAUCACAUGAUGCAUCAAAUCCGCCCAGUCAGCUGAUGACUCCAGAAACCUCUCGCUCUCGUGACCAAAAAGAGGAAAAGCAAGAAAUCAAGCAAGGACGUGAUGAAGAAGGUGUAGUCCAACCUGCUGAACAAUGUCUUUGGACAGGAAUCUCACACUCCAUCUCAAGUGUCAGUCAUUCAUCUGCUCUUGUAUCAAGAUGAUCAAAUAUUUCAGUCAAAAAUAUAUUUUCUCCUGUAAAAAUUAACCUUUGGCCUCAGAUGACACACACUGAAAAUACACAGACUAUUCCCCUGCUUAGCAAACUUUAGUAAGAUCAAUUCAAAACUAUGUUGCAAUACCUCUUUUUGACAAUCAGGAAUACAGUAAACACAAAUGAAAGUGUGCAUACAGUAAAAUACAACAGUGAGCAUUAAGAAGUUUUUUUUUUUUUUCAUUACGCAACUGUAAAGUGAGCUUACAGUAGAUGAAAAGCAUUUAAAAUGUUUGGUAUGUACACAGAAAAAUAAAUAAAUAAAUGU